CUUUGUUGCUCUAAGCGUUCUCGUAACAGUUGAAUCUCGUGUUUCAGAGCAGUUAAUUCGCCACCAACCAAUAAUCCUCCGCAAUCGGAGGUCACCGUGCCCUACAUGUACAGGAGACAACUUUACCCCAUAAACAGCGUUAUUCGUAAGCGUACACCUUUACCUCGAGCUCCUUGAGGUCAUCGUUCUCUUCUUCGAAAGGGUUCUCAUCGAAGCUAAAAUCGACGGCCGAUAUCGAGUGUGUUAGUUGAAGGGAAGGCAGUUUCAUUUUUCGAAAAGGUUUCUUCAACUUUAGGUAAUUGAAUAUUUCAGGCUCCUUGAAUGAUAAUUUCUUCCUGGGCUUCGGUGUGGUCUCCACGCCGGAAGGAUUGGCUGGACCGGAACUAGGCGACACUGAAAAUACACCAAAUGUAUAUCACGAUAAAAGUUACGAUGUCCAUGAAGAGUUCAUUCUUUUGUCCUGCGUUAUAUGGUAUGUAUUAUAUAAUUUCUUUUUGCACUCUUAUUUUAUUUUGUUGGAUUAUAUU